rnacentral:tRNA from 1 species
GGUGGGGUGUUCCGAAUGGCAAGGUACCGCUUUCGAAAAGCGGUGCCCGCAAGGGCAUGCGAGUUCGACUCUCGCCCCCACCG